rnacentral:rRNA from 1 species
AUUGAACGCUGGCGGCAGGCCUAACACAUGCAAGUCGAGCGGAUGAAGGGAGCUUGCUCCUGGAUUCAGCGGCGGACGGGUGAGUAAUGCCUAGGAAUCUGCCUGGUAGUGGGGGAUAACGUCCGGAAACGGGCGCUAAUACCGCAUACGUCCUGAGGGAGGAAGUGGGGGAUCUUCGGACCUCACGCUAUCAGAUGAGCCUAGGUCGGAUUAGCUAGUUGGUGGGGUAAAGGCCUACCAAGGCGACGAUCCGUAACUGGUCUGAGAGGAUGAUCAGUCACACUGGAACUGAGACACGGUCCAGACUCCUACGGGAGGCGGCAGUGGGGAAUAUUGGACAAUGGGCGAAAGCCUGAUCCAGCCAUGCCGCGUGUGUGAAGAAGGUCUUCGGAUUGUAAAGCACUUUAAGUUGGGAGGAAGGGCAGUAAGUUAAUACCUUGCUGUUUUGACGUUACCAACAGAAUAAGCACCGGCUAACUUCGUG